rnacentral:rRNA from 1 species
AACGAACGCUGGCGGCAGGCUUAACACAUGCAAGUCGAGCGCCCCGCAAGGGGAGCGGCAGACGGGUGAGUAACGCGUGGGAAUCUACCUAGUUCUACGGAACAACUCAGGGAAACUUGAGCUAAUACCGUAUACGCCUUCGGGGAAGGAUUAUCGAUAGAUGAGCCCGCGUUGGAUUAGCUAGUUGGUGAGGUAAUGGCUCACCAAGGCGACGAUCCAUAGCUGGUCUGAGAGGAUGAUCAGCCACACUGGGACUGAGACACGGCCCAGACUCCUACGGGAGGCAGCAGUGGGGAAUAUUGGACAAUGGGCGCAAGCCUGAUCCAGCCAUGCCGCGUGAGUGAUGACGGCCUUAGGGUUGUAAAGCUCUUUCAACGGUGAAGAUAAUGACGGUAACCGUAGAAGAAGCCCGGCUAACUUCGUG